rnacentral:rRNA from 1 species
CCUACGGGUGGCAGCAGUGGGGAAUAUUGCACAAUGGGGGAAACCCUGAUGCAGCGACGCCGCGUGAGUGAGGAAGUAUUUAGGUAUGUAAAGCUCUAUCAGCAGGGAAGAAAAUGACGGUACCUGACUAAGAAGCCCCGGCUAACUACGUUCCAGCAGGCGACGUAAUACGUAGGGGGCAAGCGUUAUACGGAUUUACUGGGUGUAAAGGGCGCGUAGAAGGAAUUGCAAGUCUGAUGUGAAAUCCCGGGGCUCAACUGCGGGAGUGCAUUGGAGACUGUUGAUCUAGAGUGUCGGAGGGGCAAGCGGAAUGCCUAGUGUAGCGGUGAAAUGCGUAGAUAUUAGGAGGAACACCAGUGGCGAAGGCGGCUUACUGGACGAUGACUGACGUUGAGGCUCGAAAGCGUGGGGAGCAAACAGGAUUAGAUACCCCAGUAGUC